rnacentral:rRNA from 1 species
GACGAAGGAUCCAAGCGUUAUCCGGGUUCAUUGGGUUUAAAGGGUGCGUAGGCGGACCUAUAAGUCAGUGGUGAAAGCCGAUAGCUUAACUAUCGAACUGCCAUUGAUACUGUAAGUCUAGAGUAUAGAUGAUGUUGGCGGAAUAUGACAUGUAGCGGUGAAAUGCAUAGAUAUGUCAUAGAACACCGAUUGCGAAGGCAGCUGACAAAACUAUAACUGACGCUGAUGCACGAAAGUGCGGGGAUCAAACAGG